rnacentral:rRNA from 1 species
AUUGAACGCUGGCGGCAUGCUUUACACAUGCAAGUCGAACGGUAACAGGCCGCAAGGUGCUGACGAGUGGCGAACGGGUGAGUAAUGCAUCGGAACGUGCCCAGUCGUGGGGGAUAACGCAGCGAAAGCUGUGCUAAUACCGCAUACGAUCUAUGGAGGAAAGCGGGGGACCGUAAGGCCUCGCGCGAUUGGAGCGGCCGAUGUCAGAUUAGGUAGUUGGUGGGGUAAAGGCCCACCAAGCCAACGAUCUGUAGCUGGUCUGAGAGGACGACCAGCCACACUGGGACUGAGACACGGCCCAGACUCCUACGGGAGGCAGCAGUGGGGAAUUUUGGACAAUGGGCGCAAGCCUGAUCCAGCAAUGCCGCGUGCAGGAAGAAGGCCUUCGGGUUGUAAACUGCUUUUGUACGGAACGAAACGGUCUGGGUUAAUACCCUGGGCUAAUGACGGUACCGUAAGAAUAAGCACCGGCUAACUACGUGCCAGCCGCCGCCGUAAAAC